CCAGGUGAAACAGAGAGGAGGAAGGGCAGAGGGUGGCACUGGGCAGCCGAGCAUCCUCCUGCGCUGGGAGCCCAGGAACGAGCAGAGGCGCAGAACAGCUCCAGGCGAGGAUUUCAGCUCUGCGGGGAGGGGCUGCGCCGAGCAUCGGGGAUCAAGGGCUGGAAGGGAACCCAAGGUCCAGAAGUCUUCCAGAAAACAGUUUUAAAGUUGUUCAAAGCAAGGUGGAAAAGCUGAAAAGUCAAACUCAGAGUCCUGACACAGCUGGCUUUGAUUGGUCAUUAAGUCAAAACAAUUCACAUUAAACCAGUCAAACAACCACCUGUUGGAUAAACAAUCUCCAAACCACAUUCCAAAGCAGCAAAACAGAGGAGAAGCAAAUGAGAUAAUAUUGUUUUCCCUUUUCUCUGAGGCUUCUCAGCUUCCCAGGAGAAGAAUCCUGGGCA
rnacentral:lncRNA from 1 species